rnacentral:rRNA from 1 species
AACGAACGCUGGCGGCAUGCCUAACACAUGCAAGUCGAACGAUUGCCUUCGGGUGAUAGUGGCGCACGGGUGCGUAACGCGUGGGAAUCUGCCCUUGGGUUCGGAAUAACAGCUGGAAACGGCUGCUAAUACCGGAUGAUAUCGCGAGAUCAAAGAUUUAUCGCCUGAGGAUGAGCCCGCGUUGGAUUAGGUAGUUGGUGGGGUAAAGGCCUACCAAGCCGACGAUCCAUAGCUGGUCUGAGAGGAUGAUCAGCCACACUGGGACUGAGACACGGCCCAGACUCCUACGGGAGGCAGCAGUGGGGAAUAUUGGACAAUGGGCGCAAGCCUGAUCCAGCAAUGCCGCGUGAGUGAUGAAGGCCCUAGGGUUGUAAAGCUCUUUUACCCGGGAAGAUAAUGACUGUACCGGGAGAAUAAGCCCCGGCUAACUCCGUGCCAGCAGCCGCCGUAA